AUUGAACGCUGGCGGCAUGCCUUACACAUGCAAGUCGAACGGUAACGCGGGGCAACCUGGCGACGAGUGGCGAACGGGUGAGUAAUACAUCGGAACGUGCCCAGUAGUGGGGGAUAGCCCGGCGAAAGCCGGAUUAAUACCGCAUACGACCUACGGGUGAAAGCGGGGGAUCGCAAGACCUCGCGCUAUUGGAGCGGCCGAUGUCAGAUUAGGUAGUUGGUGGGGUAAAGGCCUACCAAGCCUACGAUCUGUAGCUGGUCUGAGAGGACGACCAGCCACACUGGGACUGAGACACGGCCCAGACUCCUACGGGAGGCAGCAGUGGGGAAUUUUGGACAAUGGGCGCAAGCCUGAUCCAGCCAUGCCGCGUGCGGGAAGAAGGCC
rnacentral:rRNA from 1 species